UACGUAGGGUGCAGGCGUUGUCCGGAAUUAUUGGGCGUAAAGAGCUCAUAGGCGGUCUGUCGCGUCUGCUGUGAAAACUCGGGGCUUAACCCCGGGCCUGCAGUGGGUACGGGCAGACUAGAGUGCGGUAGGGGAGACUGGAAUUCCUGGUGUAGCGGUGAAAUGCGCAGAUAUCAGGAGGAACACCGGUGGCGAAGGCGGGUCUCUGGGCCGUAACUGACGCUGAGGAGCGAAAGCGUGGGGAGCGAACAGG
rnacentral:rRNA from 1 species